AACGUAGGUACCGAGCGUUAUCCGGAUUUACUGGGCGUAAAGCGCGUUCAGGCGGUACGGCAAGUCGGGCAUGAAAUCUCUCGGCUCAACCGGGAGAGGUUGUCCGAUACUGCCGGACUAGAGGGCAGUAGAGGGUGGUGGAAUUCCGGGUGUAGUGGUGAAAUGCGUAGAGAUCCGGAGGAACACCAGUGGCGAAGGCGGCUCUCUGGGACGGUACUGACGCUGAGACGCGAAAGCGUGGGGAGCGAACAGG
rnacentral:rRNA from 1 species